UUCCUGUGUUUCUUACACUGCAGGUGAGGGUGGAUCGGAGCAAGUAGCCUCUCCACUGUGACAUCCAUAGGUACAGGAGGUGUUUGAAUAAACUGAAUGUCAUCACCCAGUACACUUUCCCUUUAGGGUUUCCAAGAACAACAUGGCUAACAUAAAAAGGUUUCAAUCAAGGAAGACUCACCUAAUCGUAAAUGGAAGCUUAUGAUGGCAGCCCAGGUGAAAAAAUAUGGAAGAAACUUUAGAUGCUUCCUGCCUGCCCUCAGGGUUAUUAUCAAGAUUAUCUGUCUUUUUGUUGAGGCAUUCCUUUACUGAUAUUAGAACCAGCUUCUUCUAAGGUAGACUGAAGAUCAGCAACUCUCCAGUGUUGUUAUAAAUAAAAUUGGUGCUGGGAUAAAUAAUGUUAUUUAUUAUUAGCUCUGUAAUUAUUAUGGUGGUGUUAUUUAACCCACUGGCACAAUUAAUAAGACAUAGACACUUGUUAGAUUUUAUAAUUGCCUUAUUUACCUUGGGCUGGGCAGAUAUUUCCACCUACACUAUCUCAAUAACUUCACCACCCACCUCCCAGCCCCCAUCCAAGCCAUUUGCUUUAACCAUCCUUAUCUGGACUACCUUCCAUCCAUAAUCUUAUAAAUACUUGCUUGUAUUUUUUAUCUGGACCUUUCCACACCAUUAUCGGAGUCCUUCUCCUGAUCCACAUGAUUCCUUCUCCAUGCUAACCCAUUGUGGCAUCCUCCUGCCUCCUCUCUUUCCAUCUGUCUGCUUUCCCUGAUUUUCCUCUUCCCAAAGCCUGGGAACUUUAGCCAUGCCUACCCCAUUCUGCUCUGCCUAGGUUUUAGGCCUUUUAAUCAACCAAUCAGGUAUAAUGUCUGAGGCAGUUUUGCCCAACAAUGAUAGGUGUAUCCUGAAAGUAAUCAGAUCUUGAGGGCCAGUAAUUAACAUCAAAAUACAAGCAUCAGACCAACUACAAACACUCCAGGGAUCUUCCAGGCCACUAGUAUCAGAAUGGGAAUGUAUCCAGGUGCAUAAAAUGAGCACCUAUCACAUUCUCAGCAUCGCCAGUGUGGA